GGCUGCUCCGCAGGUGCCUCACCCAGGGUGCCCUAGGUGCUCGGCCAAUGGCCUCUGCGAGCGCCUUGGGAGCCAGCGAUCGGCGGCCCUGUCCGGGAAGCUCCGGGGGGCCCAGGGGGACUGACGAGGCUCCAUGUCCAGCCCAUGCACGGGAAGCAAGUUAAGGAUUAAUGUGAAGCUCAGAAGCAGAUAGUGCCAGACAACGAGCAGUAGUUGGUACACAUUUGGUUAGCGUGGCAGCAUUUCCUUCUCCCACUGCUGCUGAGAUGGCAGAAAUUAGUCGAAUUCAAUAUGAAAUGGAAUACACUGAAGGUAUUAGUCGGAGAAUGAGGGUCCCAGAAAAAUUAAAAGUCGCACCACCAAAGGCUGACCUGGAACAAGGAUUCCAAGAAGGAGUUCCAAAUGCUAGUGUGAUAAUGCAAGUUCCAGAGACGAUUGUUGUAGCAGGAAAUAAUGAAGAUGUUUCGUUUUCAAGACCAGCAGAUCUUGACCUUAUUCAGUCUCCUCCUUUAAAACCUCUGGCACCAAAAACACCACCUCGUGUACAUACACUAAGCGAGAGACCACUAGAUUUUCUGGACUUAGAAAGACCUUCUCCAACUCCUCAAAGUGAUGAAAUCCGUGCAGUUGGCAGGCUAAAAAGAGAAUGUUCUAUGAGUGAAAAUGCUGUCUGCCAAAGUGAACAGCUGGUCAGAAACGAUGCUAUGUAUGGCAUUUCAAAUGUAGAUGCAACAAUUGAAGGAACAGAGGAUGACAUGACUAUUGUAGAUGGAGCUUCAUUAAGACAACAGAUAAUCAAACUAAACAGACGCCUACUACUUCUAGAAGAGGAAAGCAAAGAACAUGCUAAAAGAGAAAUGGUCAUGUAUUCAAUUACUGUUGCUUUCUGGCUGCUUAAUAGCUGGCUCUGGGUUCAGUAA